rnacentral:rRNA from 1 species
CCAAUAGCGUAUAUUAAAGUUGUUGCAGUUAAAAAGCUCGUAGUUGAAUUUUAGGCCUGGCCGGGCGGUCCGUCUUUGGCGAGUACUGUCUUGUUGUCGGGUCUUCCUUCUGGUGGACCAGCAUGUCCUUUAUUGGGUGUGUUGGGGAGCCAGGACCAUUACCUUGAAAAAAUUAGAGUGUUUAAAGCGGGCUAUUGCUUGAAUAGAUUAGCAUGGAAUAAUAGAAUAGGACGUUGUGGUUCUAUUUUGUUGGUUUCUAGGACCACCGUAAUGAUUAAUAGGGAUAGUUGGGGGCAUUAGUAUUCAAUUGUCAGAGGUGAAAUUCUUGGAUUUAUUGAAGACUAACUACUGCGAAAGCAUUUGCCAAGGAUGUUUUCAUUAAUCAAGAACGAAAGUUAGGGGAUCGAAGACGAUCAGAUACCGUCGUAGUCUUAACCAUAAACUAUGCCGACUAGGAAUCGGGCGACGUUAUUUUCAUGACUCGCUCGGCGCCUUAUG